rnacentral:lncRNA from 1 species
UGAAAUCAUGCUCUACUAAGUAUAAGAAUAAAUAUAAUCAACAAUAAUUGUUAUUUUAAGAAUGUCAAGAAAGAAUCUAUUAUAUAACAAGUGUUUAAUUGCAACUAAAAUAUACUACAAAGACAACUGCUUGUGAAGAGGAUGGUUCAAAUAUUUAGCAAGUGAUAAUUCGGAAUAAUUUAUUACAACUUAAUUUGCAAUGUUCCACUUUGUG